rnacentral:rRNA from 1 species
UACAGAGGGUGCGAGCGUUAAUCGGAAUUACUGGGCGUAAAGCGUGCGUAGACGGUUAUUUAAGUCGGAUGUGAAAGCCCCGGGCUCAACCUGGGAAUUGCAUUCGAGACCGAAUAGCUAGGGUACUGUAGAGGGAAGUGGAAUUUCCGGUGUAGCGGUGAAAUGCGUAGAUAUCGGAAGGAACAUCAGUGGCGAAAGCGACUUCCUGGACCAGUACCGACGUUCAGGCACGAAAGCGUGGGGAGCAAACAGG